UACGAAGGGGGCUAGCGUUGUUCGGAAUCACUGGGCGUAAAGGGCGCGUAGGCGGCUUUGUAAGUCGGGGGUGAAAGCCUGUGGCUCAACCACAGAAUUGCCUUCGAUACUGCAUGGCUUGAGACCGGAAGAGGUAAGUGGAACUGCGAGUGUAGAGGUGAAAUUCGUAGAUAUUCGCAAGAACACCAGUGGCGAAGGCGGCUUACUGGUCCGGUUCGUGACGCUGAGGCGCGAAAAGCGUGGGGAGCAAACAGG
rnacentral:rRNA from 1 species